rnacentral:rRNA from 1 species
ACGGAAGUCGUUGUAAUGAAAUGGAAAUGGACAGAGAACUUGUUCGAAGAAAGUUGAAGUAGACUUACAACAAUGGCUUUAGUGGCGGACUGGUGAGUAACGCGUAAGGAACCUGCCUUUUAGAGGGGAAUAACAAUGAGAAAUCAUUGCUAAUACCGCAUAUGCCGAGAGAAUCACAUGGUACAAUCGGGAAAGGAGCAAUUCGCUAAAAGAUGGCCUUGCGUCUGAUUAGAUAGUUGGUGGGGUAACGGCCUACCAAGUCGACGAUCAGUAGCCGGACUGAGAGGUUGAACGGCCACAUUGGGACUGAGAUACGGCCCAGACUCCUACGGGAGGCAGCAGUCGGGAAUAUUGCGCAAUGGAGGAAACUCUGACGCAGUGACGCCGCGUAUAGGAAGAAGGUUUUCGGAUUGUAAACUAUUGUCGUUAGGGAAGAGAAAGGACAGUACCUAAGGAGGAAGCUCCGGCUAACUACGUGCCAGCAGCCGCGGUAAUACGUAGGGAGCGGGCGUUAUCCGGAAUUAUUGGGUGUAAAGGGUGCGUAGACGGGAAGAUAAGUUAGUUGUGAAAUCCCUCGGCUUAACUGAGGAACUGCAACUAAAACUGUUUUUCUUGAGUGCAGGAGAGGUAAGUGGAAUUCCUAGUGUAGCGGUGAAAUGCGUAGAUAUUAGGAGGAACACCAGU